CCCCAGCCGAAGUCCUCCACAGAAUCAACGGCUCCGCCAACAAGGCCAACCUCAAAAGAAAUCUCCGCCCGGGCUCCCACGGGAGCCGGACUUCAUCCUCGACGACCAACAACUUCAGCUACAAGACAGCUCCGCCCGGACUCCUACGGGAGCCGGGCCCCGCCGACGACUCCAACGACUGCAGACAGACUUCGUCCGGACUCCUAC
rnacentral:lncRNA from 1 species